rnacentral:lncRNA from 1 species
GUUCAAUACUCUUUUUUUUUUUUCCUACUAGGAGAGGAGAGAUGGAUUAGCCCGAGGGUAUUGUUUUCUAUGGGCACAAUUAUGCAGGGUACCAUACAGUGGGUCCUUGUGAAACCCUGGCUGAAUGUUUGUGAUGAUUCCAAAGAACCAGUCAACUAAGCUGCCAGCUUAAACACCGAUGAAUGAAUCUUUUACACCAGUCAUGGAGACACAGCUCUAUAAGCUCAAUCCUUAAGAGGCUUAGGCAGGAAAAUUGUAAGGUGAAGGCCAGUUUAGGCUCCAGUGAGCUCAAGGUCAGUCUGUCUUUGUGAAAUCCCAUCUCAAAGCAAAAUGUGAAGUAAAAGAAAGAGGGUUGCGCCAUAGUGGUGUAACUGCUAAGCCUGGGCAAGGCUAAGGCUAAUCCUCGGCACGCCAAAACCUUCAAAUGGGAUCAAAAGUUCCUUCAGGUAUCUGCUGGCAGGAAAUUUGAAUUCUCAUUUCGAUUCUUGUCCUGAGGAAGAUGAUUCUGUGUACCGGGUCAGGCAAGGCUGCCCUUCCACGGAGGACGUAACCCUGGUCCAGACCUGAGCACUGGAGUCUUCAGGGUCUAUUACAUGACACAUAGAAUUUAAAAUGAGUUUAAGGAGCCGGGUGGUGGUAGUGUAUACCUUUCAUCUCUGUACUCGGGGGACUGACUCAGAUGGACCUCUGUGAGUUCGAGGCCAGCCUAGUCUACAGAGUGAGUUCCAGGACAGCCAGAGCUACACAGAGAAACCCUGCCUACAAACAAACAAAUUUAAAGGGCUAGUGACCACAUUAACAGAGAACAAGUUAUGGGAGUUGAUCUUUUCUUCCAUGAUGUAGGUUCUGGGAAUUGAAACCAUGUCAUCAGGCCAGCACCCUUACCUCCUGAGCCAUCUUGCUGCUCCCCACCCUCAACAUUUCCUUUUUUAACUAGCCACGUUGUUGAAAAGCUUGGGUUAAUUAAGGUAUUAGGAUUCUUGCUUUAGAAUUAGCGUCGCCUGAGGAUGUUUCCGGUAAAUCUAAGUACCACGACGAAGGUGGGCCCUGCUUUGCAUAGUUUAAAUAUAUCAAUGGAAAGACUACUUGUACUGGACGUGGGCAGAUUUUCCUUCUUUUUUUUUUUUUUCAGUAAAUAUCAAGUACUUGAUCAGUGCCCUAGGCACAGGGGGUUUUGAGGCAAACACAUUCUCCUACUUUCUAGUCUAUGUAGUGGAAAUAGUAGAAAGCAUGAAACCAGAAGCUAUGAGGAAGCAAUACAUAUUUAGAUGAAAAAAAAAAUCAACCCUGGGGACUGACAGUGACAUGCGGGAGAUUCUUUCAACAGAACAGUCUGGAAGGAUUCUCUCAAGAGGUCAGAGGAGGGUUAGGUCACGAGAAGAGCCAGCAUGAAGGUAUCUAAGGAGAGACUAUUUUGAUAAUGGAUAGAAUAGUCAAUCCUGUCUGGCAGAGGAGAACUGGAAUGUCAAUGGUAUGAGAUUCUCCAGUAUUAGCAUGACAUACCCAUGAUGUCAUUCCUCCAGUUUUGAAAUAGAAAUUAUUGGAUUUUCAUACCAACAUCAACAAUGAAUCCAUGAGCAGAGAAGGACAAGGUUGGAGUUCUAGAUCAUACUUCCAGGAACUCCGUAUCUGUUGAAGAGGAGGGAAAAAGCUAUGUCCCCGCAUGUUACCUGUGGCCCAGGUAUCAUGAGCUGCCUAAACAUUAUUGACAUUGAUUUCUUCUGGGGGUUGUUUUGUGAAUAUUCUGCUGAAGGAACAAUCAUAGAAGAACAAAAGUGUAAGCAAACUGGCCAGCAUAACGCUACUUCCAAUGUGCUUUAGAUUAUAUAGAACUAUGAACGAUUUAAGGAACCAAGUUGAAGGCUCGGUGUUACAUCAUGAGGCAACAGGUGCUGUGGGGCAAGCUAUAGCGGUCUCACUGAAAGAGUGUUUUCUGAUAUUAAAUAUCACAAAAUAAUUUAUUCUAGAUAACCCCAUUAAGAUGAUGGAGCACAGUGUUUAAAACUCGUUUGUUUGAAUUCAAGUGUGAGUUCAGGAAUUGAAUUGAUACUGUUGGAUGCUAGUGUUUCAACAGAGAUAAUUUUUGUUUCAAAAUCGAAAAUAAGAAGAAACUAUUAAAAUUAUGAGUUAAGAAAAGUACUUUACGUUGACACAAUAUUGAUAGAACUCAAAUUAUACAGUAAUCUAGAUUUAUAAAUGAUAAUUUUUGGUUUUUUUUGUGAAAUAAAAGAAGAAUGAAAGAAAUAUAUAG